CGCUAGGCCCCGCCUGCUCUAUUUAAACUUCUGGACUCAACCUGGCCGCUAGACCGGAGCGUCCUCCAGCGCAGGCAAGGAUUCCUCGUUUAGAGUCAUGUUAUCUUCGAGUACCUAGAGAGACAUUUUAACCCACACCCUAGAGAGGCGUUGUAAUCCUUACGUGUCUUUUAACGCUACUUGGCCCUUACCUGCGAGCAACUGACCUUUAAUAAUCCUCAUUUUCUGUGCCCCGGAAGUGCCUUACCCUCUUCGCGUCUGUUUCCCGGAAGUGGUUCUUCUCCCUCUCCACCCUUUCGCCCGCCUGGGCGGUCCAGCUGCCCCUAGGGGCCAACUCCAGCGGCUAUUUUGGGGCUGGACAUCCCGCAGCUUUUCAAGGCGUGCCUUUGGUUUUUUUAAGAAGUGCUAUCUAAAGGAAAAGCUGGACUAUGACUCUGGGGAACUUUCAUAUCCUCAGUUGACCUUAGGCUGUGUGACCUUGAGCAGGUAGCAUAACCUCUCUGAGUUUCCCGCGUGCCUUAUGUGCAGAUUGAGAUGCUAAAAUGAGAGAGCUAAAUUGGAAAGCUUUUUCCACAUAGGGGGCCGUGAGCAGGUGGCUGUUUUGUCCUCUGGCACCUUUGGCUCAGACUUAAGCAGCUUCAACGACCGCCAAGAUGCCUGCCAUGCCCACCAAGAUUUAAAGGACUCUGAUAAUUCUUUCUCUCCCCAAACGGUGUUUUCCUUAUCUAAUCCUAAUAACCAAGCCUGGAGGAAUCCCUGACUUCGUGAUUGAAGGCUCUCCAGGUCCCCUAGUUUAAGGGCAGAGAUUUACUUUCUCUGAGGCUACAAAGGAGCGUCUGCGAGAAUGUCUCUACCUUAGACAAAACAGGGAGGAGGGGUGGAGCUCUCCAAAUUGCCUCUGGUUUGGGCUUUUUCUUUCUGUUUUGGUGUAUCGUCUCUGGCCAACAACACCUGUGAGUCCUUGAUGUGACGAUUAGGGAAGAUGUUUUUAAUUCACAUAACUAUUCUUUAGAGAAAAUUGAUCCUGAAACACCUUAUUGCCUUAUCGUAGAAUGACUGCAUUACUCAGAAUUCUUUACCUCUACCGGAAUUUAGUGAAGGGAAGGCACAACGUACAUUAGGAAAAUACAGGACACACUCCAGUCCUUAAACCUUCCACAAUCUUCUAGCUCUUUAAGGUCGAGUGUGAUCCUCCCCAGAACUGCAUCUUCCAGGAAGCUCAUGAGAAAGGAAGGAUCCCAGGUCCCAUCUCUGAUCUGAGUCGGCAUCUGCGUUUUAACAGAAUCCUGAAGCAGUGGUCUAACUCCUUUGGUGGUGUUAUUGUUUGCAUGUAUACCUCCAAAAUUCACAUAUUGAAAUACUAACCCCCAAGGUGAUAGUAUUAGGAGGUGGGGCCUUUGGGAGGUAAUUAAGUCAUGAGGGUGAAGCCCUCAUGAAUGGGAUUAGUACUCUUAGAAAAGGGACCCCAGAGAGGUCUCUUUCCACCAUGUAAGGAUAAAAGUACACGGAGAAGAUGGCAAUCUGCAAACUGGAAAAGGGCCCUCCUCAGAACCUGACCAUCUUGGCACCUUGAUCUCAGACUUCCAUCUUCCAGAACUGUGAGAAAUAAAUUUCUUUUAUAAACACUCAGUCAAUGCUACUUUAUUAUAGCAGCCUGAAUGGAUUAAGACAGGUGGUCUGGUUUAAAGUGAUGUGGUGGCAUCAGAAGUUUAAGGAGAGACUGGAUUUACAGAACCAGAAUCUGGGAUGCUGUUUACAGAGCAAGUUAUUUCCUGCAUUUGGACACUGUCAGCAGGUCGAUUCAGGAGACAGGUGAAAACUUUAUCACCGGGCAGCCUGGAUGAACACCACAACUUUGAUAUCUUUCACUUAAAGGAAAGAUAAGGGCAUCCACUAUUUCUACACCUGGCUGGCAGAGUGAGAGCUCACCAAAGCACUUACAAAUUCAUGGACUAUUAUGAAGACAAGUUAAGAGAUUGUGUCCUCCAAACUCAUCAUUUUUCAGAUCCAGUUCUGAAUCUCGUUAGCAAGUUCAAAGCAAGGCCAAGAAGAUGCAAUUCCCACUGGAAACCUUAUGAGACAGUUAGAAGGGAAGGGGAGCAAAUGUUCACCAGAUGGAGUCGUGCCCUGUCUCCCAGGCUGGAGUGCAGUGGCCCGAUCUCGGCUCAUGGCAACCUCUGCCUCCCAGGUUCAAGUGAUUCUCCUGCCUCAGCCUCCCGAGAAGCUGGGACUACAGGUGCCUGCCACCAUGCCCGGCUAAUUUUGGUAUUUUUAGUAGAGACGGGGUUUCACCAUAUUGGCCAGGCUGGUCUUGAACUCCUGAUCUUGUGAUCCACCCACCUCGGCUUCCCAAAGUGCUGGGAUUACAGGCAUGAGCCACCGCACCCAGCCUUUGAACUUUCAUACCUUUAGUA
rnacentral:lncRNA from 1 species